AGGGUUUCAUCAUGUUGGUCAGGCUAGUCUCGUACUCCUGACCUUAAGUGAUCCGCCUGCCUCGGCCUCCCAAAGUGCUGGGAUUAACAGGCGUGAGCCACCACACCCAGCCCUGCCUGGGCCCUUCCAACCCACUGUGUCUCUGCUCUUCUGUGCAAACAAUCCCAGCACCAGGAAGGAGCCAGCCCUGCCCCCCGCUGCGGCCCUCUCCAUGGGGAACCGUCAGGCCUCUCUGCCUACGCGGUCUCUGCAGAUACCUGAUGGGUGUGGAACGCCUCUGCCCAUGGUUUAAUAACUAUUAAAACAGCUGUAAAUGCUUCCCUGGGCAGUCUCGCUUGGCGGCCCCCAAGUACAGGGUGUUGCUUUUAGAAAGUAAAUAAAUCUACAUACAUUCAAUCUCCAAAACACAUCCUGUUCAACGAAGCUUCAAGAAUAGGAUAAUUUUGCUUUGGAAUACAGAUGCACUUCACAGCAUUUCCCCUGCAGCCCAGGACCGAUGAGGAUGUUGCAGCCUUCGGUGGUGUGGAAACGGGUGAGGGGUGAGGCGGCGGAUAAGGACUUGGACAAAUCUUUUUGCAGAGAUGUACGUUUCUGCCUCAGGAAGCUGGUGUAAGGAUAAGAAUGACUCAAAGGCCUCUGCUCCGUGUUGCAGUGAGGUUUGCUCUCUUCUCUCUGAAGUCGCCUCUGCCAGGCUCCAGCAGAAUUUCCCCACAGAGACUUGCAAAGAGACCCCGAUCCCCUUAGAAUUGGGAAACGGGAGCUUCAUACUGCUCAGGAAAUCACACUGAAACCGAGGCCCAGGGCAACAGUGGAAACUCAGGAGUGAAAAGCAAGAAUCUAAGUCACGGGACGUUCCAUUGCCCUCAUGCUGUACCCUGGGAACUCACUUUGGGUAAUUACCAAGGAAAAAUCAGAAUCUUGGAUCCCAGGAAGAAAGGUGCACCAUGCUUGGUCCCUGGUUGGCCCCACCUCUCUUUACGACCACCUACGAAGAAAGCAUGAUCUGAAAUUCCAAAGCUUUCUUCCUUUACUAUCAGGCUUUCUGCCCCGCCCCCAGCAAUGCAGAGACAUGCAAUGUGAAAACCCAAUCAACCCGUCAGCAAGUCCUGGUUUUACACCCCUUCUUGUCGACCUGGUGGUUGGGGCCUUCUGCAGGCUGAGUGGCAGGUGGCUUGGGAAAUGAAACCCUUAAUAAUCACCCAAAGCUAAUUCUCACCCACAAUGACCAGAGUAAUCUUUGCCCAACUGAGGUCCAGACACCGUGGCUGUGAGGGUUAAUUUUAGGGAAGUUGACUGGACUGAGGGAUGCAGAGAUGGCAGGUGACAGAAAGAAUGUUUCUGGGGGUGUCUGUGAGGGUGUUUCUGUAACCGAGCCUGAUGUGGUUUUGAUCUGUGUCCCCACCCAAAUCUCAUGUUGAACUGGAAUCCCAAGUAUUGGAGGUGGGGCCUGCUGGGAGGUGAUUGGAUCGUGGGGGUGGAUUUCCCAUAAGUGGUUUUGCACCAGGAAUCCUCUGGGUGCCGUACUCCCAAUAGUGAGGGAGUUCUCUUGAGAUGUGGUCAUUUAAAAGUGUGUGGCACCUCCUCCCUCCCUCUGCUUCUGCUCUGGCCAUGUGAUGAUGUGCCUGCUCCCCCUUUACCUUCUGCCACAAUUGGAAGCUUCCUGAGGCCUCCCCAGAAGUCAAGCAGGAGCCAGCACUAUUCUUCCUGUACAGCCUGCAAAACCAUGAGCCAAUUAUACCCCUCUUCUUUGUAAAUUACCCAGUCUCAGGCAUUUCUUUUAUUAUUAUUA
rnacentral:lncRNA from 10 species